CAGUCGAACGAGUUCUCGUUGAUGAUCGGUGCUUGCACCGAGAUUCAACAUGGAACGAGUGGCGGACGGGUGAGUAACACGUGGGUAACCUGCCCUUAAGUGGGGGAUAACAUUUGGAAACAGAUGCUAAUACCGCAUAGAUCCAAGAACCGCAUGGUUCUUGGCUGAAAGAUGGCGUAAGCUAUCGCUUUUGGAUGGACCCGCGGCGUAUUAGCUAGUUGGUGAGGUAAUGGCUCACCAAGGCGAUGAUACGUAGCCGAACUGAGAGGUUGAUCGGCCACAUUGGGACUGAGACACGGCCCAAACUCCUACGGGAGGCAGCAGUAGGGAAUCUUCCACAAUGGACGCAAGUCUGAUGGAGCAACGCCGCGUGAGUGAAGAAGGCUUUCGGGUCGUAAAACUCUGUUGUUGGAGAAGAAUGGUCGGCAGAGUAACUGUUGUCGGCGUGACGGUAUCCAACCAGAAAGCCACGGCUAACUACGUGCCAGCAGCCGCGGUAAUACGUAGGUGGCAAGCGUUAUCCGGAUUUAUUGGGCGUAAAGCGAGCGCAGGCGGUUUUUUAAGUCUGAUGUGAAAGCCCUCGGCUUAACCGAGGAAGCGCAUCGGAAACUGGGAAACUUGAGUGCAGAAGAGGACAGUGGAACUCCAUGUGUAGCGGUGAAAUGCGUAGAUAUAUGGAAGAACGCCAGUGGCGAAGGCGGCUGUCUGGUCUGUAACUGACGCUGAGGCUCGAAAGCAUGGGUAGCGAACAGGAUUAGAUACCCUGGUAGUCCAUGCCGUAAACGAUGAAUGCUAGGUGUU
rnacentral:rRNA from 1 species